rnacentral:lncRNA from 1 species
GGUCUAAAGACCCAGUGGGGACAGGGAUGACUAGUCUAUAUACAGCUGUUUUAUUAAUUCCCCCAUUUGCAGCACACUUAUCUCUUCCAACAUUCAUCAGUCAGAUCAGAGUCCACGGUCUUUUCAAAAUUUAGAUAAACUGGCUUACAUUUUGUAAUGAUGUCCCCAGACAACACCCCACUCCAACCCAUUCUGUUUGUUACUAUUAGUUUACAACAUGCAUGUGCCUUUACUUUCAUUUUCAUAGUAUUUAAAAAUGGAAGGGCACUCCCAAAUUUACUUUAACCCCUUUAAUAAUCUCUCUCCUCCUGCUCUCUCUGGUCCUCCAGACAACUGUUGAUUUACUUUCCUUUAUGAUGGAUUAGUUUGCAUUUUCUAGAAUUUUAUAUGACUGACAUAUAAAGUUUUUAUGUUUCUCCCCUUUGGGUUUCUUCAUGUGGCAUUUUUUUUUUGAGGUUUAUCAAUGAUGCUUAUAUAAGUAGCUCAUUCUUUCAUACUGCUGAGAAGUAUGCAGUUCUAUGGGUAUGCCACUGUUUGUUUAGUGAGCUGCUUCCAGUUUUUGGCCAUUGCAAAUAAAACUACCACAGACAUCUGAAUACCAAAACAAACAGAAGAAGCAGAGGUAGGGCAAAGGCAUGUGCAGCCAACCAUCUUGAAGUAGCAGUGUUAAUAAAUUUGUAAAAGAAAAUUUGGUGUAUUCUACUACAGUAUCAUAAAAUUCAAAACUUUUAAACCACAUUGUAUUUAUGACUAAAGAUGCCAUCAGUCAUCUCUACAUCAUCAAAAAGGACAGCCUGGCCAACCUGGUGAAACCCCAUUUCUCAUCAUCAAAAAGGACAUAGAACCCAUUUUUUUUUUUUUUUUUUUGAGACGGAGUCUGGCUCUGUCGCCCAGGCUGGAGUGCAGUGGCACAAUCUCGGCUCACUGCAAGCUCCGCCUCCCAGGUUCACGCCAUUCUCCUGCCUCAGCCUCCGGAGUAGCUGGGACUACAGGCGCCCGCCACUACGACCGGCUAAUUUUUUGUAUUUUUAGUAGAGACGGCGUUUCAUUGUGUUGGCCAGGAUGAUCUUGAUCUCCUGAUCUCAUGAUCCACCCGCCCUGGCCUCCCAAAGUGCUGGGAUUACACGUGUGAGCCACCGCGCCUGGCCAGGUUUAUACCAUCUUUAUUUGGAGGUCAGCUGGCUUCAUGAAAAAGUCCUUUGAAGAGAAUGUCUUCUGUUUACAAAUUGAAGCACACAGAAGUAGAGGUUUGGAGUCAAAUUUUCAACUGUGCAUUUAUUGGCCUGGGCUUAGACAUAUUAAAAAGCAACACUUACUGAGAACAUAACAUAACCAGACAUUUCUGCCAGGUGCUGUUAGGUAAAGAAAAAAUAUGGACCUCUAUCUCAAAGAGUUUAUAUCCUAGUUUACAACUAAUUGGCAAACACUGUAAGCACACACCAAGAAGAAGCACAGUGGUACAGAGGCAAGAGUGACAGACUCUGUCUGGGGAUCAGGGAGGGAUUCAUGUAAACAAGGGGUAGAGGGUCAAUCCUCUAUUUCCGGGUUGGUGGAUGGUGGUACCAACAAUUAAGAUAGAGAAUCCAGGAAACCAAGCUUGAUGGCAUUAGAAAGAUUUCUUGUAAAAAGAGGCAAGGUUAUCUACAGACUCCUGGAAAGGAUGGUGACAGAAUUGAAGAGACUGUUAGCUUACCAGGAAAAGAAACUGCUAGUCAAAGAGAAUAACUUUUCCAGAUAUAGACCACAUUUUGUUCACAAUUAUAAGAACAGCUCUGUUUUCCUUUUAAAAUCUCCAAACAAACCCCUUGCUCAUCCUGCCUGUAUUUUUCUCUAUUUAUGAUCAAUAACAUGGUCAUCACUGUGAAAUCAUUCAUGUUUUUUUUUUUGAGACGGAGUCUCGCUGUGUUGCCCAGGCUGGAGUGCAGUGGUGCCAUCUUGGCUCACCGCAAGCUCCACCUCCCGGGUUCACGCCAUUCUCCUGCCUCAGCCUCCAGAGUAGCUGGGACUAUAGGCGCCUGCCACCAUGCCCGGCUAAUUUUUUGUACUUUUAGUACAGACAGGGUUUCAACGUGUUAGCCAGAUGGUCUCGAUCUCCUGACCUCGUGAUCCGCCCGCCUUGGCCUCUCAAAAUGCUGGGAUUACAGGCAUGAGCCACAGCGCCCGGCCUGUUUUUGUUUUUUUGAGACAGAGUCUCGCUCUGUUGCCAAGGCUGGAGUGCAGUGGUGCAAUCUUGGCUCACUGCAACCUCCGCUUCCCAGGUUCAAGCGAUUCUCGUGCCUCAGCCUCCCAAGUAGCUGGAACUACAGGCAUGCACCACCAUGCCCAGCUAAUUUUUGUAUUUUUAGUAGAGACGGGAUUUCACCAUGUUGGCCAAACUGGUCUCAAACUCCUGACCUCAGGUGAUCUGCCCGCCUUGGCCACCCAAAGUGCUGGGAUUACAGGCUUGAGCCAACAUGCC